CAAUGAGUGCAUUCUUGAAAACUAUCCUGAGUGUUCCAACCCCAGAUUAUUUUACAUCAUUCCAUAUUUUUGUGGACAGCAUCCCAGAUGCAGGGAGCCUGGUGAGUGGGCCCUUGAAAGAGCAAAACUGAACGUGAAUGAAAACUUCCUGCUUGUGGGGAUUCUCGAAGAGUUAGAAGAUGUGCUGCUUUUACUGGAAAGAUUUUUACCUCAUUACUUCAAGGGUGUGCUCAGUAUCUACAAAGACCCAGGUAACUCCCUUUGUAGAGGCUCUUUGGCGUUUUGAGGGUUACUCACCUUGAACGGGACUCGGGCCAAUAAAGGAGGGAAAUCUGUUCAUGAAGAGAGGUUGCCGCUGGCUUGCAGAGGAAGGGUAGAAUCACGAGCUAUCGAUGCCAAAAACUGGAGCUUCGGGUCCCAACCUAAACUUGCCAUGUUUGAAAGCCCUGAUGGUUCCAUUUCUCCCUUUGGAAAGUGCAACUGGCAACAUCUGCAUGGACCUUGUCCUGAGCGUGUUGCUGGAAUGCGCCAGCGAACAGACGUGUACAUGUUGGGAGUCCACUGAUGGAAACAGGAAUGUGAAGGAACCACAGCUUAAUACCCUUUCUGGGCCCUACUUCCAUUUGCCAAAGCAGUCUGGCGUAUAAAAUUUUGGCAAUAGGAUAGAGGGGCAAAUUGAAAAUGCAAUUAUGAUUUUACUCUAAUAAAUGGAGUGGUUUCCAAAUAGAAGCAAGAAAUGGAAUGCAGCAGGGCAAUCGCAGAGGUUGCCCAUAGAAAUAUAAUUACUUUCAGAAAUC